CAGCAGUGGGGAAUCUUGGACAAUGGGGGCAACCCUGAUCCAGCAAUGCCGCGUGUGGGAAGAAGGCCUUCGGGUUGUAAACCACUUUUGGCAGGGAAGAAAUUGGCCGGGUUAAUACCCUGGCUGGAUGACGGUACCUGCAGAAUAAGCACCGGCUAACUACGUA
rnacentral:rRNA from 1 species